GUCCUGUUAGCAGAGUGGCUCAUGCGGUUGGCUGCAACCCUUCCGACGUCGGUUCGAUCCCGACACAGGACU
rnacentral:tRNA from 1 species